rnacentral:tRNA from 1 species
AGAGCGCACCCCUGAUAAGGGUGAGGUCGGCAGUUCGAAUCUGCCCAGACCCACCAAUUGUCGAGGGCGCAGCAGGUCUGAAGGGGCCAUAGCUCAGCUGGGAGAGCGCCUGCUUUGCACGCAGGAGGUCAGGAGUUCGAUCCUCCUUGGCUCCACCAUCCACACUAUCGCUGAAAGCUCAGAAAUGAGUACCUGGUUCAGGUAUUGAUUUCUGGUCUUUGCGCCAGAACGUUCUUUAAAAAUUUGGGUAUGUGAUAGAAGUGACUUGUUGAGUGUUUCACUGCACUCAGCAACUCAGGCAAAA